UUUGCUGAAAAUCCCAUGGUUAUAAGAUCUGAGCAUCCUUUUUCUUCAUAUUUGGUAAAUUGCUUAUGCAAUUUUCGGGUUUACUUUUUAUUGGUGACGUUUGGAGGCUGUUUUUUAGCAAAAUGUGAAACUGCUAGUUUUGAGGUUCAUUAACAAACCAAUCAGGUACACUAGUUGAAUUCAUUCAACAGAAUUAACUUUCAAAUUUACUAUAAUGCACCCAGCAAAAUAAGGAUUGUGACCAGAGCUGCUGCAUUCUUCCAUCCUUUGUCGUUUCCUUCUUGCUCGGUCUUUGCACGUCUCUGAUGGGAAUGGUGGGUCAGAAGCUUCCUCUCUAGGACAAGGUGCCUCAUCCUGCCUCUAAAAUUUUGACAAGGAAGAAAUAGUUGCAAGGAACCUGGAACCUCACUUCUUCAUCUCAGAUGAAAGCAGGUUCUGGAUUUGCUACUUCCACAGGAAGGAGUUCCUUACAGGUCUGUGAGAAGACAAUCUAAGUGAUGGGGUUGAUGACUUGGUGUUGAUUUUAACCUGCUGAAGACAAACGGAGGAUUCCACUGCACAGAGUCAUUGAACUCUCAGUUUGCACCAGAAACCAUUCACUACCUGUAUCAGUGAAAAAGAUCUCUGAUGUCUGAAGCAGCAGAACAGAAGAUGCGAUGUUCCAAACCAUCAUGGCUGGAGACAUCUGGGAGGCCAACUUUCACCUCAAGGAGUCCUGUGGAGCUGGUGGAAAAGUGGCUUCCACAGGAUCACCUACCAAAGAUUUACCCUUGCUGAAAGCCAAAGAUAAUGGCCCUGAGUAUAUCUCCCAUGCAUCUGUAUUUAUUUCAGAAAGAAGGGAGAUUUCACCGCCUUCAGACUCUGAGAGAUCAAAAGGGGGUUGUACCAGAGCAAGUUGAGUUAAUUUGUCACUGCUGUAAGAAUAAAGAAAUUCCAUUAGAACAAGUUAUUUAAUUCCCUGCCUCCUGCAAGUUCAGAGGGAAAUGUGACGCAUUAUUUUCUUGAAUACGCCACAGGAGCUUAGGAGAACCAGUUAACAUAAACAAAACAAAAUUGUGCAACUUUGGAGGUAUCUGCUGUGGGCACAAGCAGUAACAAAUAAUAGAUAUUGAAGAAUUGCUGGCAUGACUUCAGAUCUGCUGGUGAGCUGGCUGAUGGAGAUCAGUCUGCACCAGUGGGGACCAGAGCCCUCCAUUGGGGGGAAAAAACCUGAACAUUCUGAAAGCGUUGACAGAGUCAUUGACAAAACCAGCAUUAACAACAAAAUAGUACUGCUAGCAGGUGACUUUCAUUUCAGAUGGGCUCCAAAAGAGACUGGAAGCAAAUAAACAUGAUGGAAACACAAGCCUUUCAGAAGCCAUUUCCCACCCCCCCACCCCCCCCAAUUACUCUUUGUCAAACUGAUACAAACUUUGUUUAACUGAUACAAAAAUAUCUCUGUGCAUGGUGGAAAAGAGUGGAAGCGCUUUUAGCCUAGAACCUACAGCUCAUAGCAAGAUUUGACUCUAAUAAAGCUGAGAAAUUGCAUGAAAAGCUGAGAAAGCUGUUGCAAGCUGUUUUUAUCUGGCAGAAAACUGAGAGAAGUGGAUCUUUUAAAGCACAUAUUCCUUCUGCUGGGUUAUGAGAGAACUGCAGACCCUUAGUGAACUGGAAUAUGAAUAUGAGCUAUGUACUCUGGAUAUUUAAAGAUCUGGCAGAGCUGACGGAAGGAAAUGUCACAGAGUGCUGUAUGGCU